rnacentral:rRNA from 1 species
UAACCUACCCAUCAGAGGGGGAUAACACUUGGAAACAGGUGCUAAUACCGCAUAACAGUUUAUGCCGCAUGGCAUAAGAGUGAAAGGCGCUUUCGGGUGUCGCUGAUGGAUGGACCCGCGGUGCAUUAGCUAGUUGGUGAGGUAACGGCUCACCAAGGCCACGAUGCAUAGCCGACCUGAGAGGGUGAUCGGCCACACUAGGACUGAGACACGGCCCAG